CAGCAGCCGCGGGAAAACGUAGGGUCCGAGCGUUGUCCGGAAUUAUUGGGCGUAAAGAGCUCGUAGGCGGUCUGUCGCGUCUGCCGUGAAAUCCUCAGGCUCAACCUGAGGCGUGCGGUGGGUACGGGCAGGCUAGAGUGCGGUAGGGGAGAAUGGAACUCCUGGUGUAGCGGUGGAAUGCGCAGAUAUCAGGAAGAACACCGAUGGCGAAGGCAGUUCUCUGGGCCGUAACUGACGCUGAGGAGCGAAAGCGUGGGGAGCGAACAGGAUUAGAUACCCCGGUAGUCCCUGUCUCUUAUAC
rnacentral:rRNA from 1 species